rnacentral:rRNA from 1 species
GGGUUGUGAGGUUAAGCGACUAAGCGUACACGGUGGAUGCCCUGGCAGUCAGAGGCGAUGAAGGGCGUGCUAAUCUGCGAUAAGCGCCGGUAAGGUGAUAUGAACCGUUAUAACCGGCGAUACCCGAAUGGGGAAACCCAGUGUGAUUCGUCACACUAUCAUUAACUGAAUCCAUAGGUUAAUGAGGCGAACCGGGGGAACUGAAACAUCUAAGUACCCCGAGGAAAAGAAAUCAACCGAGAUUCCCCCAGUAGCGGCGAGCGAACGGGGAGGAGCCCAGAGCCUGAAUCAGCAUGUGUGUUAGUGGAAGCGUCUGGAAAGGCGCGCGAUACAGGGUGACAGCCCCGUACACAAAAGCGCAUGUGCUGUGAGCUCGAUGAGUAGGGCGGGACACGUGGUAUCCUGUCUGAAUAUGGGGGGACCAUCCUCCAAGGCUAAAUACUCCUGACUGACCGAUAGUGAACCAGUACCGUGAGGGAAAGGCGAAAAGAACCCCGGCGAGGGGAGUGAAAAAGAACCUGAAACCGUGUACGUACAAGCAGUGGGAGCACCCUUUGGGGUGUGACUGCGUACCUUUUGUAUAAUGGGUCAGCGACUUAUAUUCUGUAGCAAGGUUAACCGUAUAGGGGAGCCGGAGGGAAACCGAGUCUUAACCGGGCGUUAAGUUGCAGGGUAUAGACCCGAAACCCGGUGAUCUAGCCAUGGGCAGGUUGAAGGUUGGGUAACACUAACUGGAGGACCGAACCGACUAAUGUUGAAAAAUUAGCGGAUGACCUGUGGCUGGGGGUGAAAGGCCAAUCAAACCGGGAGAUAGCUGGUUCUCCCCGAAAGCUAUUUAGGUAGCGCCUCGUGAACUCAUCUCCGGGGGUAGAGCACUGUUUCGGCUAGGGGGCCAUCCCGGCUUACCAACCCGAUGCAAACUGCGAAUACCGGAGAAUGUUAUCACGGGAGACACACGGCGGGUGCUAACGUCCGUCGUGAAGAGGGAAACAACCCAGACCGCCAGCUAAGGUCCCAAAGUCAUGGUUAAGUGGGAAACGAUGUGGGAAGGCCCAGACAGCCAGGAUGUUGGCUUAGAAGCAGCCAUCAUUUAAAGAAAGCGUAAUAGCUCACUGGUCGAGUCGGCCUGCGCGGAAGAUGUAACGGGGCUAAACCAUGCACCGAAGCUGCGGCAGCGACGCUGAUGCGUUGUUGGGUAGGGGAGCGUUCUGUAAGCCUG